rnacentral:lncRNA from 1 species
GGAGUAGACAAAAUUCAUAAACACAUAGACAGAAAACGGCGAGGAGGAGGCUGCCAUGGGAGAGAAUUGAAAUCCCUUCUGGGGAUUAAAUAUACAACAAGCCGAGGUGGGUGGGCGGAAGAAAACCGACAGCUUUGGGGGAAUUAAAAGGAAUAGAAAGUAGGCUGGAAUUGGACUCUUUAAUUGGCAGAUUUAGUGGCAGAAAAAAAAGAGAAUCGUUGGGGCUGAAUUGAGUAUAUUCCACGGCAGAAAGUCUGCUACAACUUGGGGUCGAAUUGGAAUUAAAGAGACAUUGGAUGGUUGCACUUAAAUAUAUAUACACAGAGCCCGAUGCAAGCAGAUUAGGACCUGGGAAUUGAGUGCUGAAUUACUAAAAUAAACCAAUUGCUGGGAAUUAAUUGUUGGGUUGCAAGGUGGAAUUAUAUUGCUACAUCCACAGAAAAUCGAGGCAGAGCAAGGUUGGAAAUUGGAAUUAUAUACACGCAGCUGGAGAGACAUUCACGACACAGUGAAAGACGGCACAUGCAAUUGGAAUAAAUCACGUUCCGUCAAUUAUUGGUGAUGUCGUUCCACUUCUCUUUGUUUAAUUUUAACAUUAUGCUCGGCUAGAUUAUUUUGUACUAGGAUUUGUGAUGAAUCUUAUAUUAUGAACAUUUAAUAUUGAAUUUUAUUUAUUUUGAC